GGGAAGGUGGCUCAGUGGUAGAGUGCUUGCCUCGAAUGCCUGAGGUCCUGGGUUCAAUUCCUCCACCCCA
rnacentral:tRNA from 1 species